GCUAGUAUCCACAAUAGAUAUUUUGGACAAAAAUAAAAAUUUAAUUUUUCUGUGAAUAGUGCCGUAUACGUAAAUAGUGUAGUAUACGUGAAUAGUAACCCCGACACUAAAAGAUAAGAAUUUCACAAGAAAAAUCUUACCAAUAUUCCGGCAUAAUGAUAUUAGAAGAAAUAAUAUCAUUUAAAAAAAAUAUAAUAUCCCUUACCUUGAAAAGACUGUACUUCUAGCUGGAAUACCGGAUAUAGUGUUGAAGGGAAC
rnacentral:lncRNA from 1 species